CUGUGUUUUGAUUUCUUGGGAAUUUUGGUUUGUUUUCACUCAGAUCCUUUUGGCUCAAGGGUAAAGGACUGAUGAAGUGAGUUCCAAUGCAGGCAUGAGAUGCAGGGUCUGCCAAGAGUUCGUUUAACUGAUGAAGAGAUGGGAAGUUUCUUACGACCUGCUUCCUAGAUCAACAGUAGCUGCUCUAGAAGGAAAACAUAUUUUCAAAACAGCUAACCCAGCGUUUGAAUUCUCUGUUUUCUCAGGAAAUGAGUUGAUCUUCACUUGCAUAGCUAAUCCAUUUGGAAUUUCUAUCAAGCACAGAUCCUAUGGAGAGGUUCUGUUCAACUCCUCUUAUGGCAGCUUGGUUUUCAUUAUCUGGUUUAUCUCCAUUAGAUGUGGUUCAGUGGUUUGCUGACCUCAUGGGACAUACAGCUGCAAUGCCCUCUUGGGCUUCUGUGAAAUUCUAAUGCAGGCAUGAGACGCAAGACCCAGUAAGAGUUCAUAUAACCAAUGCAGAGAAGAAGAGAUUGGAAGUUCCUUAUGACCUCCUUCCUAGAUCACAAGUAGCUGCUUUAGAAGGGGAAGCCCAAUUCAAAAGCAACUAUGGUUCGUCUCCAUUAGAUGUUCUUCAUAGGACACAGCUGCAAUGCCCUAUUGGGUUUUUGGAUUAUUGAGGUCGAAGUUGAAGUGCUUGAUGAGGUUGACAUUUCUUGUGUACACCAUUCCUUUUUCUAAGAUGAUAUUUUAAGAGCUAUUUUAAGAUGAUUUUUGACAAAGCACUUGAUGAAGUGAGAUUCUAAUGCAGGCAUGAGACGCACGACCCAGUAAGAGUUCAUAUAACCAAUGCAGAGAAGAGAUGGGAAGUUCCAUAUGACCUCCUUCCUGGAUCACAAGUAGCUGCUUUAGAAGGAAGCCAUAUUUCAAAUAUAGCUAACCCAGUUAUUGAAUUCUCCGUGAUUGCAGGCUACGAGUUGAUCUUAUCCUGCACAGCUAAUCCAUUUGGAUUUUCCCUUGGAGAGGUUCGUCUCCAUUAGAUGUUCUUUCAACAGUUCAUUGACUUCAUAGGACACAGCUGCAAUGCCCUGUUGGGCUUCUGGACCAUUCAAGUUGAAGUUGAAGUGCUUGAUGAGGUUUUCUAAGAUGAUAUUUUAAGAGUUUUUUUUAUAGAUUUGGGGUAUACAUUUUAUUCUGUUUUUGCAGUUAUAAUAUAAAUGAAGUUUUAAUUAAAAUUGAGAUUGAUAGCUUGAGUCAUUUGUGUGAUCAUAUUCUCUCUUUUAUCUAAAGGAUGUUAUCCACGCAUUUAUUUUGUCUAACAAAUAGAUUACAAGUUGGUAGCAUGUUGCACACAGAAACAUUGUAGCUGUACACGGCUGCUCUUGGAACAAGCGGGUUGAAGGCCACACUUCCAAGAAUGGUUGUCUAACAGUUUAAUUAAAAGGAGAUUCCAGAGAGAGCUGAACAACUUUUUGAACUAGUUAUUUUUCACAGUUAUGUUUAGAGAAAGCCUAAGAUAGUGACAUUUGGUUUGUAUACAGCAAGGAAUGGAAUUAGGUAUUGACCAUUUCUUUAAUAAUAUUUUGGUCAAUUGCAUUGACCUAAUACCAUUGUAACAUGUACAUAUAUGAUGUUUAAUAAUAAUAAAAAAUUAUUAGAAGGGGCUAAAGUUCUGCCCCUUCUAAAGACCAAAGGGAAUAGCUACUGGCCAUGGUUAUUCCUUAAGGUCAUGUGUUUGUCCCACAACUUAAAGAAUGGUCAACAGGCUUAGGCCAUUCUUUAA